CUACCUGCAGUCGAGCGAGAACCGGAGCUUCGGCUCCGGGGACAGCGGCGAACGGGUGAGUAACACGUUGGAUAACCUGCCCUCGGCACCGGAAUAGCCCGGGGAAACCCGGAUUAAUGCCGGAUUGCCCCACAUCCCUGCGGGGAACGUGGGAAAAGGUAGCUUCGGCCUCUGGCCGAGGAUGGGUCCGCGGUGGAUUAGCUUGUUGGCGGGGUAAUGGCCCACCAAGGCGACGAUCCAUAGCUGGUCUGAGAGGACGAUCAGCCACACUGGGACUGAGACACGGCCCAGACUCCUACGGGAGGCAGCAGUGGGGAAUCUUGCGCAAUGGGCGAAAGCCUGACGCAGCGACGCCGCGUGCGGGAAGAAGGCCUUAGGGUUGUAAACCGCUUUCAGGAGGGACGAAGCCACUCGGGUUAAUAGCCCAGAGGGUGACGGUACCUCCAGAAGAAGCCCCGGCUAACUACGUGCCAGCAGCCGCGGUAAUACGUAGGGGGCAAGCGUUGUCCGGAUUCAUUGGGCGUAAAGAGCGUGUAGGCGGCCAGGUAGGUCGGUUGUGAAAACUGGAGGCUCAACCUUCAGAGGUCGACCGAAACCAUCUGGCUAGAGUCCGGGAGAGGAGAGUGGAAUUCCUGGUGUAGCGGUGAAAUGCGCAGAUAUCAGGAAGAACACCCGUGGCGAAAGCGGCUCUCUGGAACGGUACUGACGCUGAGACGCGAAAGCGUGGGGAGCGAACAGGAUUAGAUACCCUGGUAGUCCACGCCGUAAACGAUGGGCGCUAGGUGUGGGAGGUGUCGACUCCUUCCGUGCCGCAGCUAACGCAUUAAGCGCCCCGCCUGGGGAGUACGGC
rnacentral:rRNA from 1 species